AUACGGAGGACGCGAGCGUUAUCCGGAUUCAUUAGGUUUAAAGGGUGCGCAGGCGGCCGUGCAAGUCAGCGGUGAGAGCCCGGGGCUCAACCCCGGAAGUGCCGUUGAUACUGCAUGGCUGGAAUGCGGUCGAGGCGGGCGGGAAGUGGCGUGUAGCGGGGGAAAGCGUAGAUAUGCCACAGAACGCCGAUAGCGGAGGCAGCUCGCCAGGCCUGCAUGGACGCUCGGGCACGAAAGCGUGGGGAUCGAACAGGAUUAGAUACCCUGGUAGUCCACGCCGUAAACGAUGGGCGCUCGUCGUCGGCGGCAGACAGUCGGCGGCCAAGCGAAAGCGAUAAGCGCCCCACCUGGGGAGUACGGUCGCAAGGCUGAAACUCAAAUGAAUUGACGGGG
rnacentral:rRNA from 1 species